rnacentral:rRNA from 1 species
CUGCGGAAGGUCAUUU